rnacentral:rRNA from 1 species
CAGUCGCCACGGGAAUACGUAGGUGGCAAGCGUUGUCCGGAAUUAUUGGGCGUAAAGGGCUCGCAGGCGGUUUCUUAAGUCUGAUGUGAAAGCCCCCGGCUCAACCGGGGAGGGUCAUUGGAAACUGGGAAACUUGAGUGCAGAAGAGGAGAGUGGAAUUCCACGUGUAGCGGUGAAAUGCGUAGAGAUGUGGAGGAACACCAGUGGCGAAGGCGACUCUCUGGUCUGUAACUGACGCUGAGGAGCGAAAGCGUGGGGAGCGAACAGGAUUAGAUACCCCAGUAGUCCCUGUCUCUUAUAC